GUGCUUGUUUCAGCAGCACUUACACUAAAUUGGAAGAUUAGCAUGACCCCUGCCCAAGGAUGGUAUACAAAUUCAUGAAGUGUUCUAUAUUUAA
ensembl:snRNA U6 U6 spliceosomal RNA